UUUGCCUAUUUUGACUGGAAUUACGCUUGGAAUUCAUUUUAGCCGAAAUGGCACAACAAAUGUUUUAUCCAUUUUCAUAUUACCACUACAAUUUGUUCUUAGGAACGAAACAGAGAGAAAAAAAAACUUGUGGAGAAGAUCUACUCCUCUGAUGGCAGGCAGGCAGCACACUCAAGAAAACGAACUGCUCAGCAAAGCAAAGGCUCUUUUGAGAGCUACCAGAUUUAUUAUUUUUAAAAAGCACAUUUUUAGUGUCUCCAGUGUCUGUGUUUAUAUGUAAAGGGGGUGUUACUUUCACAGACUGUCACCCAUCUAAAUAAAUUGUUUUUUAAAAUUUAAAAUUAUGAACCAGA